UGCCCUGCUCGACCCCUAGACUUUACGUUGUGGUGACAUCACAGGUCUUUAAAUCGCUUUUCUCGGCUGGAGGGAAGUUUUUUUUGUAUAAAAAAAUCAACUGCAUGGC